UUGAGUGGAUCAGGGAGGCUUUCUGUUUUAUUGUUAAGAAGUGGAGGACAAAGGUUUACCUUUCAAGACUCUCUUCAUCAUGAACAAUGCUCCUGUUCACCCACGAGAUUUGGCAGAAUUGGCUGAAGAAUUCCCACAGCUCUAAGUUGAGUUCCUCCCACCUAAUACAACUCCUGUACUGCAGCCUAAGGACCAGCAGGUUACAGCUAAUGUCAAGAAGUUAUACACCAAGGACCUGUUCCUGAAGUACUUCCAGAUGGUCUCAGAUAGAGAUUUUACACUUAAAGAGUUCUGGAAGGAACCUUGCAACAUCCUUUCCUAUGUGAGGUUAAUUGAGAAAUCCUGGGCCAAUAUCUCUCUAAGGACACUGAGAUCUUCCUAGAAGAAAGUGUGGCCUAAAAUUAUACAGGAGAGAGACUUUGAAGGCUGUGUAGAGGAUCCCGAGUCUUCAGUGGGCCCAGUGGUGCUGACAUUGUCCCUGUAGCAGAGUCCAUAGGCUUACAGGUAGACGGUGGUGAUGUUGAGGAACUGUCUACAGGUGAGCAUCCAUAGCUUCUGGCUGAGCAACAGAGAAUGGUAGAUAAGGAGAUUUCUGAAGAGGAGAGGGAGUAUCAACAAUCAGUGCAGCAAAGUUCUUCUGAAAUAAAGGAAAUCCUGAAAAAAUGGAGAGAGCUACAAACAUCUGCCCAGACAGAGAAAAAACUGUUACCUUUACUUGCUUAAUGACAGAGUCAUAUUCUACAGGACAGUGUUAAAGACAGAAAUAUGCAACCUUAGACCAGUUUUUAGUUCUGAAAAGGUUGAGACCUAGUGAGCCAGGAGCGGGUCAUAGUGCGCUUACAGACUCUCUCAAGGAGAGAAAGGACACCAGAGAGCCAGAGUGCUGAUGUUCUUCUGGAAGGGGGCUCCCCUUCCAAACGGUAACCACCUUCCAUUCCAUCCUCCCUUCCUGCAAGCCAAAGACGUCAACUCGAAUGGCACUGCAUAGCAGCCACAGUGGGGAAGAUUUCGUGUGUCCCUGUCCUGGGCCUCUUGGUCUAUUUUAGCAGAAAGAAGGCAGGACUGGUAAAAUCUGGAUUAUGUAUCUAAUUUGACCACAUACUUACUUGUGAACUGAGUAUUUUCUCAGGUCGCUGUGCUCUAGCAGAAGGGACUCUUCACCAAAGGGAAGCAAGUGCCGUUGUUAAAAACAAAACCAAAACCCGGAACAUCAGCUGGAUGAUUCAGUGAAGUACACAGCUGAGAUCAAAUUAGAACUGAUCUUUGGGUCUCAAAGCUUCAAAGGGACAAAAUCUCACAAG